AAUGUACAGGUGUUAAUAUCGCCUGUAUUUGACGGUACCAUCAAAGGAAGCACCGGCUAACUCCGUGCCAGCAGCCGCGGUAAUACGGAGGGUGCGAGCGUUGUUCGGAAUUACUGGGCGUAAAGCGCGCGUAGGCGGUUUGCUAAGUCAGAUGUGAAAGCCCUCGGCUUAACCGGGGACGUGCAUUUGAAACUGGCAGACUUGAGUACUGGAGGGGGUGGUGGAAUUCCCGGUGUAGAGGUGAAAUUCGUAGAUAUCGGGAGGAAUACCGGUGGCGAAGGCGACCACCUGGCCAGAUACUGACGCUGAGGUGCGAAAGCGUGGGGAACAAACAGGAUUAGAUACCCUGGUAGUCCACGCCGUAAACGAUGAGAACUAGGUGUUGGGAUGGUUAAUCGUCUCAUUGCUGCAGCUAACGCAUUAAGUUCUCCGCCUGGGGAGUACGGUCGCAAGAUUAAAACUCAAAGGAAUUGACGG
rnacentral:rRNA from 1 species